rnacentral:rRNA from 1 species
ACACUCCUGCGGGAGGCAGCAGUGGGGAAUCUUGCGCAAUGGGCGAAAGCCUGACGCAGCCAUGCCGCGUGAAUGAUGAAGGUCUUAGGAUUGUAAAAUUCUUUCACCGGGGACGAUAAUGACGGUACCCGGAGAAGAAGCCCCGGCUAACUUCGUGCCAGCAGCCGCGGUAAUACGAAGGGGGCUAGCGUUGCUCGGAAUUACUGGGCGUAAGGGAGCGUAGGCGGACAUUUAAGUCAGGGGUGAGAUCCCGGGGCUCAACCUCGGAAUUGCCUUUGAUACUGGGUGUCUUGAGUAUGAGAGAGGUGUGUGGAACUCCGAGUGUAGAGGUGAAAUUCGUAGAUAUUCGGAAGAACACCAGUGGCGAAGGCGACACACUGGCUCAUUACUGACGCUGAGGCUCGAAAGCGUGGGGAGCAAACAGGAUUAGAUACCCCUGUAGUCCCAUG